rnacentral:misc_RNA from 1 species
GAAAUGCGAUACGUAAUGUGAAUUGCAGAAUUCAGUGAAUCAUCGAGUCUUUGAACGCACAUUGCGCCCCCUGGUAUUCUGGGGGCAUGCCUGUCCGAGCGUCAUUGCUGCCCUCAAGCACGGCUUGUGUGUUGGGCUUCCGUCCCUGGCAACGGGGACGGGCCCAAAAGGCAGUGGCGGCACCAUGUCUGGUCCUCGAGCGUAUGGGGCUUUGUCACCCGCUCCCGUAGGUCCAGCUGGCAGCUAGCCUCGCAACCAAUCUUUUUAACCAGGUUGACCUCGGAUCAGGUAGGGAUACCCGCUGAACUUAAGC